CAGGCCUAACACAUGCAAGUCGAACGGUAACAGGAAGCAGCUUGCUGCUUCGCUGACGAGUGGCGGACGGGUGAGUAAUGUCUGGGAAACUGCCUGAUGGAGGGGGAUAACUACUGGAAACGGUAGCUAAUACCGCAUAACGUCGCAAGACCAAAGAGGGGGACCUUCGGGCCUCUUGCCAUCGGAUGUGCCCAGAUGGGAUUAGCUAGUAGGUGGGGUAACGGCUCACCUAGGCGACGAUCCCUAGCUGGUCUGAGAGGAUGACCAGCCACACUGGAACUGAGACACGGUCCAGACUCCUACGGGAGGCAGCAGUGGGGAAUAUUGCACAAUGGGCGCAAGCCUGAUGCAGCCAUGCCGCGUGUAUGAAGAAGGCCUUCGGGUUGUAAAGUACUUUCAGCGGGGAGGAAGGCGAUAAGGUUAAUAACCUUGUCGAUUGACGUUACCCGCAGAAGAAGCACCGGCUAACUCCGUGCCAGCAGCCGCGGUAAUACGGAGGGUGCAAGCGUUAAUCGGAAUUACUGGGCGUAAAGCGCACGCAGGCGGUCUGUCAAGUCGGAUGUGAAAUCCCCGGGCUCAACCUGGGAACUGCAUUCGAAACUGGCAGGCUAGAGUCUUGUAGAGGGGGGUAGAAUUCCAGGUGUAGCGGUGAAAUGCGUAGAGAUCUGGAGGAAUACCGGUGGCGAAGGCGGCCCCCUGGACAAAGACUGACGCUCAGGUGCGAAAGCGUGGGGAGCAAAC
rnacentral:rRNA from 1 species